UGGGGGCUGCCCACCAGCAUGGGGCCAUUGCAGGACUGGUCCAUCAGAAUUGCCAGAUGUGAUGCGUGGAACCGUGGCAGCCAUCUUGCAACCAUGAAGUGAUGAGAAUGAGAACUAAAAGCCAAGCAGCUAAGGAUGGCAGAAGAAAGCCGGACAGGAGCUGGGUCUCUGUGAGCCCCGUUGAGCAAUGGCCUGCUCUCAUCUCAGCCCCACCUGGGGGCCUGUGAGAAACGUGGUUGCCCCAGUGUCACACAGGAAGUAUGGCUGUCUCUGCUGCUGAGGUCUAAAGUCCAUCCUGGGGUGAAGAUGUGGUCGUCUGGUUGGAAUCAGGGACCAGGAGACUUGACUGGAAGUUUCUAGUGUCUGAUGCUGGUUGCUUAGGGGAGUCACCAGACAGUCCCCAUGAUGCCACCUGCAGAGGAAGUAGAAAGAUGAGAUCCAGAGAUCCAGAGCAGAGAGAGAGUGGAGGACCCAGCGGCCGAUGGGGACAGUGCAGAGCAUCCCCAUCCAUAUUCAGACAUGCAGAUGGAUUGGAGUACUUGACGAUGAUUGCAUAGCAUCCGGAUUGGGAAUGACGAAUUCAGCCUCCACCACAAGUGCAAAGUCCCUGGGACCAGCUGUCCAGAGUCACCCAGUUCUUAAUCACUAGACCUCUGGAGAUAAUGGUCCCCAUCCUCACACUUCACCCUUCCCCAGACUGCCCCAAAUGUAGCUCUUCUGAUGACAGUAUUCUCCAGGCUUUAUGAAGUUUUACUAAUUGUGGCUGGUUAGUUAUUUCUGAAGAAAUUGUUUCUAGUCCCGGUGUUGAAGGAUAGCACUUGAGCAAACAGACAAAACACUUAAUAAACAUUCCAAGGCCAUUGGCCUUUGGAGAAA
rnacentral:lncRNA from 1 species